UACGUAGGGUGCAAGCGUUAAUCGGAAUUACUGGGCGUAAAGCGUGCGCAGGCGGUAAUGUAAGACAGAUGUGAAAUCCCCGGGCUCAACCUGGGAACUGCAUUUGUGACUGCAUUGCUGGAGUGCGGCAGAGGGGAUGGAAUUCCGCGUGUAGCAGUGAAAUGCGUAGAUAUGCGGAGGAACACCGAUGGCGAAGGCAAUCCCCUGGGCCUGCACUGACGCUCAUGCACGAAAGCGUGGGAGCAACAGG
rnacentral:rRNA from 1 species